rnacentral:lncRNA from 1 species
GAAGGACUGUGAGGUGUACAUGUCCAACUGGCAGGUGUCAUCUGACCUCGACCUCAUUUUCAUGGAUCAGUGGUUAUAGUUAAAUUUUUGUGUUUUUGUCUGUUUUUCUCAUACUAUAUGCAAUAGGUCUACUAUAUUUGUUGUAUGGAAUGAUUGUAAGGUGUACAUGUCUAGCGGGCAGAUGUCUUGUGACCUUGACCUCAUUUUUAGGUUCAGUGGUCAAAGGUAAGUUUUUGAGUUUUGGUCUUUUUAUCUAAUACUAUAUGCCAUAGGUCAACUAUAUUUGGUGUAUGGAAAUAUUUUAUGAUUUUUAUGUCAGUCGCGC